UAUAAAAGAAUUUUAGAUUGUCCUGUUAAUGUCUAUGUUUCAUGUGUAUUUCUGCUGCAGUCUUUCAGGUUCCUUCAUGAAUGUCAUCAUCUCAUUAUCCUUGUUGAUCUUCUUUGUAAUUUUGUCCUCAUUGAUCUGGUUCUGCAUAAAAAGACAAAGUAAGUCUUUAUUAAUCAAAGUCAUCACAAAUUUUAUUAAAUAAAUGUUCAUUCAAAAUAACCAGACUUUCUAAUCUGACUUGUAGAGCAGAUCCAGGAGGAACCAUCAGCUGAGAUGUUGGUAAGAUUAAACUAGUGUGCAGCAGUUAGACCCAGGACAGAGUUUACAGAUGGAACAUGUGUAAAUGUUGACUUGUUUUGAAAAUUAAAGUGAUAAGAUAAAAGAUUUCAUUUUUCAAAUGUAAAACAGGACAUGGCUUGUCCUGAAGAUGAAGUGAUUUACAGUAAGAUGAAGACAAAACCAGAAUCUUCGCAUCGGCCAUUGUGUUCUGAAAAUGAAGUCACCUAUAGUUCCGUGAGAAUUCCAGAGCAGAGACCCAAGCCAAUGUGUUCUGAGAAUGAAGUCACCUAUAGUUCUGUGAAGAUUCCAGGACGAGAAAGGAGACCCAAGGAGACUACUGACAUAUACAGCAAAUUGGCUAAUAGCCGCAAACUGUAGAGGUUGUCGUUGGUUAUUUCAGGAUGCAAUGUCACAAUGGUUUGAAGCAAACUUUUUUCACUGUGUUGCCUUUGACAGUCUAAAACUUGUCAAAUUAGUGAGUUAACAAGUCCAGAAUGGUGUUUUUUGCAAUGACAGGGUGAGGUAAUAACACUGUUAUUUAACCUUUCAUCCUAAAUCUGCCGUCAUGUGUGUUUUGUUUUCACGGGAUCCCACUAACUUAUACACCAAUAUUUCUCAUCAUCACACAUCCUAGAAUUUGUCACCUCUGCUGGGUUCUUGCUUAUUUCAGGAGAAUUAUAAUUAUAACUUCUGCAGAGUUCCUGGUUAUAUUUCUAUUUCCAUGUUAUUUUAUAUGUUUAUUACCACAGAAAUAUCAACUCAAAUAAACCCAUUUUUCAUGGAGAACACUGAUUUUCCAGGAGUGGACUCAUAUAUUGUUGACAUGUUUCUGCCAUAUUAAAUAACGUUACACAUGUUGGAGGUGAAGAUAAAAUUCAACAUCAUCUUUUAUCUUUAGUCACAAGCUUUGAAGAAGCUCUAAGAAAUGUGGAAGUCUAAAAAAAAGCCCAAGAGAAGUAGAAGAAGAAGCAGAGUUUCUUUUUUUUAUUUUAUUUUUUUAUUGAGCAUCAACAACAUGGAACAUAUACCGAAAGGUCACUAUGCACAUUUUUGUAUUUAAGCCCCCCACAUAAUAAUUAAAGGGCAAACUCAAAGAUAAGAAAGAGGGGGAAGAUUAAUUCAGGUAGACAAGUUAUGAUCCUGUGUUUGGUCUGUGGUUUGGGGUUUUUGUGCUCUGUUUGUCCACUGGGGGGGGGGGGGGGGGGGGGGGGGCAGUAAGUGACCCAUCUGUUGUGCUGGCUGCCUCCACACCUGCAGCUAAUCUGGUCAUUUGGCCUUUUCAGCAACCAGCACAGCUGCCCGGCGUCAGAUCAUUUCGUCUGUACUGGUAUUAAACUGAGUGUUUCUUUGAUGGACUAUUGGGGUUUUUUGCAUUUUACUGUGUCAUUCCUUUUGUUUUAGGUCACUACUGUUCCAAUGAGCACUUCCUUGGGUUUGGCUCAACACUUCCUUCACUGCAGUCACCAUUUAUAGAGCACACUGUGUAAAUAUUUUCUAAAUAACCUGUAGAUCACCAAAGUGGCCUUUUUGUCUGUCUUCUUGGGUCCCACUUGAGUUUUUUCAGAACUUAACAUAUAAUUUUUUUAUAAAAUUUUAAUAGCAGACGAUAUACCCAAUGGCACACCAGAAUGAAUCUGUUCACUAAAGAAGACAUCGUUCACAUAGAUUUAAUAACCAUCACAAAGACAUAUGUAAGAUGACUCCCAAAUGAUACCUAAGUGAGCAAAGUUUCAAGGGUUCCUAAGUAUGUCAACACUGGAUCCCAGACAGAAAACAAUUUGUCCCUGCAGUCCCUGCGAGUACAUCCUAUUUUCUCUAAUUGUAUGAAUUGUGCAAGGUUGCUGAACCACAUAGACACUUUGGGUGGAUUUUUUAUUUCCAAUGCAAUAACAAUCUUCUACGUGCAAGCAGCAUCAUAAAAGCUAUAAUGGU
rnacentral:lncRNA from 1 species